rnacentral:rRNA from 1 species
UACAGAGGUGGCAAGCGUUGUUCGGAAUUACUGGGCGUAAAGGGCGCGUAGGCGGUCUUCUAAGUCUUGUGUGAAAUCCCUCGGCUCAACUGAGGAACUGCACGGGAUACUGGAAGACUUGAGUUCGGGAGAGGGAAGCGGAAUUCCGGGUGUAGCGGUGAAAUGCGUAGAUAUCCGGAGGAACACCGGUGGCGAAGGCGGCUUCCUGGACCGAUUACUGACGCUGAUGCGCGAAAGCUAGGGGAGCAAACGGG